GAGCUAGCAAGGCUCUCCGAGAAUUUAGAACCAAUUGCGGGAAAUGUCUCAGAGAUGCUGAAGGCAAUGUCAACCUCAAGCCUCUAGCCAAAUAUGCAAAUCUCAUUGAUGAGGCGGAUUGGAUAGAAUUUGUCAAUUAUCGCACACAAGACGAAAAAUUCUUGAAAAUCAGUGAACAAAACUGUAAGAGAGCAUCUAACCCGAUUUAUCCUUAUAGAGCUUCUCGAAUGGGCUAUAGUGGAGUUGAAGAAAAAAUUCUCGAACAAAGCGAGACACCUUCGAGUGCUGCCAUAGACCUCGAUGUUCUGUUGGUGGAUGCUCAGAAGAACAAACAAGGUAUUGUCGAUAAUGAAAAAGUUCAAGAAGUGGUGGACCGUGUUGUUACCCUAAAAGAAAUGGAAAGUUUCCGUACCGCG